rnacentral:tRNA from 1 species
GCGGAAGUGGCGGAACUGGUAGACGCGCUAGGUUCAGGGUCUAGUGGUCGCAAGGCCGUGGGGGUUCGAGUCCCCCCUUCCGCA